AGAGUUUGAUCCUGGCUCAGAUUGAACGCUGGCGGCAUGCUUUACACAUGCAAGUCGAACGGCAGCAUAGGUGCUUGCACCUGAUGGCGAGUGGCGAACGGGUGAGUAAUAUAUCGGAACGUGUCCGGAAGUGGGGGAUAACGCAGCGAAAGUUGCGCUAAUACCGCAUAUGCCCUGAGGGGGAAAGGAGGGGAUCGCAAGACCUUUCGCUUUCGGAGUGGCCGAUAUCGGAUUAGCUAGUUGGUGGGGUAAAGGCCCACCAAGGCGACGAUCCGUAGCUGGUCUGAGAGGACGACCAGCCACACUGGGACUGAGACACGGCCCAGACUCCUACGGGAGGCAGCAGUGGGGAAUUUUGGACAAUGGGCGCAAGCCUGAUCCAGCCAUGCCGCGUGAGUGAAGAAGGCCUUCGGGUUGUAAAGCUCUUUCGGACAGAAAGAAAUCGCACAGGCUAAUACUCUGUGUGGAUGACGGUACUGUAAGAAGAAGCACCGGCUAACUACGUGCCAGCCGCCGCGGU
rnacentral:rRNA from 1 species